rnacentral:lncRNA from 1 species
AGUAUGGUAAUGGGUAAGUUUCGGCUAAACAUGGGUAAUUGGAAAUUUUGUGUAUUUUGUGUUUUGUGCAAUAGGGACUAAAUUGUAAAAAUUAUAAAUGUUAGGGGUAAAAUGAUAAUUUUCCUAUUUAUGUGUUUUUGGACUAAAUUGAAUGAAAAUAUGUUGAAUGAGCUUAAUUUGAAUAUUUUUAGAUCAAGAACUAAAGAAAUCAGAUUUGGAUCGGGGAAAAACGAAAGUUGUC